ACUCAUAGCCCUAAGACUCAAAUGAUCUCUUUAAUAAAAUUCAGCAACUUCCAGUUAAAAGGCAACCCACAAAGUAGUAAAAACAAAAUAGAACCGCCCCAGGAAAAAACAUUAAUAGUAGCUAACAGUAAGUUUCCUUGCAAUAUCAGGAAUUUUGCCUGAGUUCUUAAACUCUUAACUUUUUUUUCUUGGUCCUUCGUCCAAAGAACCCAAACACUGCUAUCAGGAACAAUGAAUACAACAUUUUCUCAACAAGUCAGAUACAACUCGUGGUAAAUAUCCUUACAUCACAUAGGCUCUGGCCUCAAAACAAGUAUCACGUGUCAAGAUUGCUGUCUUAAAUUCAAGGAAGGGUUCACAACAAAAGGAGAUGAAGAGCCACAAAGGUCAUAAGGUAAAGAUGGCUCUCUGGUGAUGGGCAGAAGCUUCUAAGGAGAGUGGCAAAACCCCUGACAGAUGUGCAACGAAGAUGCUGAGUGGUUCUGGAGAGAGAUUGUCUGGGCCACGUACGCCAGGCCCACUGCCAUCUCUAGGCCAGAGACCUGGUUUUUCUUCCCUUUCAUAUUUUUCUUGCUCCACACGUCUCUAUGAUUCAGCCUUUCAGUGCCAGAGGUAGCUUUCGGUCAAGUUUCAGCACCUCGACGCUUUCCUCUCUGGUCUGUUCAACUUCAAGCAGUUUUCAGGGAGCCUGUUUCUAGAAGGCACUUUCUGUCCUUCCCUCUUUCCUUGUUUUUUUAGGGUGCCUGGGAAGUUGGGAAGGUGAGAGUAUCACCUCAUUUUGCCUGUCUACAAUGUAAUAAAUAGGCCAGAACACAUGAUGGGU